UACUUCACUUGAGAUUUAUUGCAUCUUGCUAUAUUUCAUUGGUAGUUAUUAGUUGUUGACGUUUAUUUGUUCUUUUAACCAGUGUCAACAUGACGAGCACGAGGAAUUUUUUUUGGAGAUAAGAGCAGCAAUUGAAGCAAAAUACCAGCACCUUUAUGAACUAUUAUACACAAAGGGGUUUUUCUACGAUGAGAGGUGCCCAAUCUGAAGCCUGCAUCGAUUCAGCGCAUAUCUUGAUACCUUUUCCAUUUCUUCACUACAGGAGUUUUUCUACGAGGAAAGGUGCCCAAUCUAAAGCAUUCAUCGAUUCAGCUAUGCCCUCACAUUGCAAAGGAUUGGUUU